rnacentral:misc_RNA from 1 species
UUUCCGUAGGUGAACCUGCGGAAGGAUCAUUCAUAAUAAGUGUUUUAUGGCACUUUUUAAAUCCAUAUCCACCUUGUGUGCAAUGUCAGGGUUGGUCUCCUUUGAUCAGCCCCAAACAUCAACUAUUAUCUCAACUCUUUGUCUGAAAAAUAUUAUGAAUAAAACAAUUCAAAAUACAACUUUCAACAACGGAUCUCUUGGCUCUC